rnacentral:lncRNA from 10 species
GGGCAGUCAGGGCACGUCAUGUAAAUCUUUUUUUUUGAAACUGUUGAUGCCAAUAACAUAAGUUUUUAAAUGCUAUUAAUUUUCAAUAAAUCAUAUGACUGUAAAGAGGCAAGGAUGGGGUGAGGAAGUUACCUCUGGAAUAUACCCCUGGAAUAGAAGUUAGCUGUCAGCAGUGUUUUCUGUAAUGACCAUGUAUUACUUUCACAAUUAAAAAAGAGACCAGAACAAAGCAAAGUUUUCACCUCACACACAUUUACUCUGAGAAUUUUGUUCAAAGACACAUAAUAUAGUAUAUUAAAAUAGGACCUUUUCCUCCAACUAGUUCACUAUCUUUUCUCAUUAUUGACCCUGUAAAGUAGACUGUCUUCAGAGAUUGGGAUUUCAUUACCGCAAUAUCUUAUUUACCUUUCAGUUCCUAACACCGAACAUCAUAUCUGAUACAUAGGCAGUGCUUAGUAAAUGCUUGUAGAAUGAAUGGAUAAGUGAAUGGCAUAGUAGAAGGCAGAAGCGCACCCCGUUUGGUUAGAAAUGCAAGUGAGAUCUGUCAAAGGAUACAAAAUUACAGCUAGAUAGGGGGAUAAAUUCUAGUGUUCUGGACCACUGUAGGAUGACUACAGUUAACAAUAAGAUAAAAUUUCAAAUAGCUAGAAGGGUAUUGAAUGUUCCCGACACAAGGAAGUGAUAAAGGUUUGAGAUGAUGGAUAUACUAAUAACCUAAUCCGAUCACAAUACAGUAUAUAUAUGGAAAUAUCACUAUAUAUGCCAUAAAUAGGUAUAACUAUUAUUUAUCAAUAAAAAAUAAGACUAAAUAUUUUUUUAAGAAGAAAAAUGCAAGUGAGCCAGAAAACAAAAUGGGUCAAGUCACUGUGUGACUGAGUAGAAUGAUCACAUUAAGUACAGUCAGAUUUCUGUUUGGGAGGAGCUGAGGUCAAUAAGCCUAGUGUGAAAGUCAAGGUACAGAAUUUAUCUUGAAGCUGCUUUUGCAGAGCAAACACAUUGUUUUUAGAAAUUUUGUGUUUAUCUGCAUGCACUUGGGGACUGGUGGAGAUAAUGGGGGACUUCCAGCUACAGCUUGUCACUCCUGAAUCAUCACCACCUGUCACUUCCUGACCUCCCAUAGCUCUGAUACUUAUGACUUCCAUUUAAGUCCUGAGACUGUUUACUACUUGCUGUUCUGUGAAUCUUGCCUUCACAACCAGGAACCUUAAACUGUGCCUAACAAAAUGUUUGCUCGCUUGCCUUGUUAUUCAAAGCAACCAGCAGCAUUCUUAUCUCCUGGAGCUUAUUAGAGAUGCAGGAUCUCAGGUCCUGACCAAGACCUGUGGAAUCAGAAUCUACACUUGCACAGGAUCCACCAGGGGAGCGACACGCACGUAGUUGUUCGACAGGGGACCAAAUUCUGUUUUCCUGCACUGUGGAUGCUCUCUUUCCAAAGACCUUCCCUUGAAAAAAGGAAGGUCCCAAAUGAAUGCAUGUGCAUAUUUCAAGUGUCAUUAAGUUUCAGCCUCAUUUCUAGUCCAAUUAUUUACUUAACAACAUUAUUGACACCUUCUACUUGGUGGGAACUGAGGAAGGGUGCAGCAGGAGGAGGAAAGGAGAAACUAUUCUACAUGAUGUAAGAUAUGCGACCCUCAAAUCAAGGCAGUGCAUUAUGUGUUCCCUGAGUAGUUUAGACAAAAUUUUAUAGGAAUGCAGAUUACAAAAGCACCAUUCCUUUCUAGAAUAGAGAACACUGUGGAAGAAGUGGUGUUGGUCCUUAAAGAAUAGGUGUGUCCCAAGGUCAGAGGUCAUCAGGGGAGGGCAUGCUCAGCAGAGGGAGAGGCACAAGCAAGACACAGAGACUGGAAAUUGCAGUGCAUGUUCAGAAAACAGGGUGGCAUCCAGUAGAAUGGAGUGAAGAGUUGGUGUAGUCUGGGAAAUAAUGGCAGAGAUAGCAAGAAAGGAAGCCUGAGGGAACAGUCAUAGAAAUUAUACCAUUUAUGUCAGACUGAAAAUGUAAGAUCUGAUGCAGCAUAUAAAUGUAGAGGUAGUUUAGUAAGAUUAAUUGUGGGAAGAGGAGCAGUAUAGUAUGAAUUUCAGUAAGGAGGUAAGUACUGGAAAUAUUAAGAAACUGGCAUUAAGAAUAAACAGAAAAUAAGAAUGAGAGAUACCCUAUACAUUCUUGGCAAAGACCUGGUUAAGUACUCUUUUCCAUCCUUUAUUAAAACUAACAAAAUCGUAGUGAUUUCUUACCUGGGCGAAGAGUACAGUUAUAAGCAGCUAAAUAGAGAACUCUACUUGGGUUGUUCAUAUAAAAUAUUGCUUUGCAUUGACCAUAAACCUGAAACCAACAAAUGCAUUUUAUGACAUAGCGAAUGCAACUAUGAGCUUUUAAAAUACCUCCAAAAUUAAAGUCAGACAUUUUCUUUUAAAGUAGUUAGAAACUUAAGAUCAAAUUCUGUGGUUUUGGCUGGGAGGAACUGCAGUUGAUGAUCAAACUGUUUAACCUUUCCCUAGGACACAGCUAGAAUAUGUUUCCAAGCCUCCCCAACACGUGUGACUGUGUAUAAUUGAGUUCUAACCACAGGAAGCUUGAUGCAGAUGAGCAGGUAACCAUGGAAGUCGUGAGCUGAGGCUGCAGAGUCUAGAGCCAGAGUGUGGAAUAAACUUGGGUCUCAAAUCACCCCUGGAGCAAAGCACCCAUCUAAUCAGGAACUUCUACUUUCAACUUUACAUGCGUGAGAAAUGAACUUCUAUCAUGUUAGAGAAAUCCUUACACGGCGCCCUUGAGAGCUUUCAUACUGCAAGUCAUCCAUUUUCCUCCCCUCAAACCUGGCAUCGGAGUUUAUUGAAACAAAGCAAAAUAAAACAAAUAGACAAAGCUCUACCUCCAUCACUUCUGCAGUCUACAUUAACCCCACGUCCAGAAUAUUCACACCUCAGGUCUUUUUCUCACAAUUGAAACACUGGUUCAGAGCCUAACGGAAGGUCUUGGAGGUAAAAACACAACUUGGGGCAACUUUUCCAUUCUGUUCUGCAUGACCCCAAUGGGACUUCUCAGAAACCCCUCUCAUGAAUUAAACUUUGUUCUGUCUAGAGCAUUAGAAUAAGCUUAUGGGCACCUGCCAGGAGAUUAUAAAGUGGGCCAUUUAAAAGAUGACAGAUAUUGAGCACCCUUGACCCUGUAGAAAGAGUGUACCUACUUGCUUUCCCUAGGGCCCUUAAUGGUUUAUAAAAACAAGCACUCACUGAUUCAAAAAAUAUCCUCAUUCCACAGUCUUGCCAUGCCUUCUUUCUGAGCACAUGGCAGUCAGUCUCUAGCACAUCCAGUGUAAGAUAGAACAGAGAUCCCAGGCCACCCUGUGGGAAGGGGUAGAGAAAUGCAAUACAUUUCACAGGAAGUAGAAACCUAGAAAGACCACACAAAAAAACCCCUGCUUUAUGGCAAAGCCAAAGAAUAUUUGUGAAGAUUCCCCGUAAACCAUUAAAUCUGACACAAGUGUCAGAGUAGGAUCACUGUUAACACUUGUUUUUACUAACAAUAAGUGCGUUGUUGCUGACCCUGGCAGAGGAGAACAGAGAGUUCUCGGCAGGGCUUCCAAUACAGAAAACACCUGCCAGGGUGUCUCUGGGUUCCCUCACCCUGGCCAGUCUCUCCAGCUUGCCCACAUCCCUGCCCCAGAGUGGGAACUGUCCCUACUUGCCCGUCUGUAUUCCUGGGCGUCGUUCACUCGGUUGAGUCUCAGCACAUAGCCAUCCUUUCUGUCUUUG